rnacentral:rRNA from 1 species
CAGCCGCCGCGGUAAUACGGAGGAUCCGAGCGUUAUCCGGAAUUAUUGGGUUUAAAGGGUGCGUAGGCGGAUAGAUAAGUCAGUGGUGAAAGACGGUGGCUCAACCAUCGCAGUGCCGUUGAUACUGUUUAUCUUGAAUAUGGAUGAGGUAGGCGGAAUGUGGCAAGUAGCGGUGAAAUGCAUAGAUAUGCCACAGAACACCGAUUGCGAAGGCAGCUUACCAAGGCAAAAUUGACGCUGAGGCACGAAAGCGUGGGGAUCGAACAGGAUUAGAGACCCCCGGUAGUCCCUGUCUCUUAUU